GGGCCCUUAGCUCAGUUGGUUAGAGCAUCCGACUCAUAAUCGGCAGGUCGUCGGUUCGAGCCCGACAGGGCCCACCA
rnacentral:tRNA from 1 species